rnacentral:rRNA from 1 species
CCUACGGGCGGCAGCAGUCGAGAAUCAUUCACAAUGGGGGAAACCCUGAUGGUGCGACGCCGCGUGGGGGAAUGAAGGUCUUCGGAUUGUAAACCCCUGUCAUGUGGGAGCAAAUUAAAAAGAUCGUACCACAAGAGGCAGAGACGGCUAACUCUGUGCCAGCAGCCGCGGUAAUACAGAGGUCUCAAGCGUUGUUCGGAAUCACUGGGCGUAAAGCGUGCGUAGGCUGUUUCGUAAGUCGUGUGUGAAAGGCUAGGGCUCAACCCGCGGACGGCACAUGAUACUGCGAGACUAGAGUAGUGGAGGGGGAACCGGAAUUCUCGGUGUAGCAGUGAAAUGCGUAGAUAUCGAGAGGAACACUCGUGGCGAAGGCGGGUUCCUGGACAUUAACUGACGCUGAGGCACGAAGGCCAGGGGAGCGAAAGGGAUUAGAUACCCGGGUAGUC